UACGUAGGGCGCAAGCGUUGUCCGGAAUUAUUGGGCGUAAAGAGCUCGUAGGCGGCUUGUCGCGUCGUCCGUGAAAACUUGGGGCUCAACCCCAAGCUUGCGGUCGAUACGGGCAGGCUCGGAGUUCGGUAGGGGAGACUGGAAUUCCUGGUGUAGCGGUGAAAUGCGUAGAUAUCGGGAGGAACAUCAGUGGCGAAGGCGGCUACCUGGCCCAAUACUGACACUCAGGUGCGAC
rnacentral:rRNA from 1 species